rnacentral:lncRNA from 1 species
AAAUAAACAGAAAGUGCUGCUCAACUUCCAAGGACAACAACUGCCCUGAGGUUGCAGGAGUCAGAGAAGAUGUCAGAGGAGCAGCCUCCCUUGACCAGGGUCUUUAAGGAAGAGUGUCCCAGGCACGAGGGCAGCCCAGUGCUACACAGUCAUGCAGAUGGGCAGUGGCAGAGCUUCCACACACUCUCUGGGUGAUUUACAAGAGGCCAUGUUACCUGAGAGCACCUGUUCCAGAGCCAGACCACCUGCGCUGGAGUUCCUGCUCCUGAAUCCCCACUGUGACACUUCGGAGCAGAGACUCAGAGAGAAAGAGAAUGUGAUGAUCCAGAACCUGAGAACUGAAAAGAUACAAGAUCACAGAUGGCUAGACCAUAAAGAUGAAGUAGGAAGGAAUCCACUGUCUACUUUGAAACAGACUCAUCAUAAGAUGGAGAAUGUCUUUGGAGAAAUCGUGAGAAGGCCAUGCAAAAUAUAUCUUCAAGGUCUGAACUUCCUUGGAUGACAGAUCCAGGCUCCUCAGGACCCUAAACAGCAAUCCGAGUCUGGCCUGACUUACUUUUCACUCUCUUUCACUAAACCUGGGCAAAACUGGAGGUAAGCAGAUCCUGACCACUGGGAGAGCAGAGCCAUUCUCUUUCUGCCCUCUAGGCUCCUCUCCUGAUCUUUAGCCUGACCUGAGCACACCCAGCAGCAGCCUCAUUUGCC